GGAAUGUAGCUCAGUGGUAGAGUGCUUGCCUAAUAUGUGUAAGGCUCUGGGUUCAAUUCCCAGUACCA
rnacentral:tRNA from 1 species